CGGCACGGGUGAGUAACACGUGAGUGACCUGCCUUUUAGACUGGAACAACUUACCGAAAGGUGAGCUAAUGCCGGAUGAGUUAUAUAAGUGCAUGUUUAUAUAGGAAAAGUUGGGGAGACCUGACGCUGAAAGAUGGACUCGCGUCCCAUUAGCUAGUUGGUAGGGUAAUGGCCUACCAAGGCGACGAUGGGUAGCCGGCCUGAGAGGGUGGCCGGCCACACUGGGACCGAGACACGGCCCAGACUCCUACGGAAGGCAGCAG
rnacentral:rRNA from 1 species